rnacentral:rRNA from 1 species
UAGGGAAUCUUCGGCAAUGGGGGCAACCCUGACCGAGCAACGCCGCGUGAGUGAAGAAGGUUUUCGGAUCGUAAAGCUCUGUUGUAAGAGAAGAACGUGUGUGAGAGUGGAAAGUUCACACAGUGACGGUAACUUACCAGAAAGGGACGGCUAACUACGUGCCAGCAGCCGCGGUAAUACGUAGGUCCCGAGCGUUGUCCGGAUUUAUUGGGCGUAAAGCGAGCGCAGGCGGUUUAAUAAGUCUGAAGUUAAAGGCAGUGGCUUAACAAUCGUUCGCCUUGGAAACUGUUAAAAUUGAGUGCAGAAGGGGAGAGUGGAAUUCCAUGUGUAGCGGUGAAAUGCGUAGAUAAAUGGAGGAACACCGGUGGCGAAAGCGGCUCUCUGGUCUGUAACUGACGCUGAGGCUCGAAAGCGUGGGGAGCAAACAGG